UAGGGGUCCUCCUCCUUGCCUGACUGAAAGUUGCCUCCUGCCUCCCUUUGAGCGGAGCGGACAUUCGAGGAGGAGAGGCGCUCCCAGUGCCUUACUAACGAAUCAUGUAUUCCUCCGGGUUUUUAUUACUUUUUUUUCUUUUCUCGUCCCGCUCCUUUGGCGGCUUCCCGCUCUCACCGCUUGUAGGCGAAGCCCUGUGUCCCGGCGGCCCUUGCACGUUGAGGCGACGCAAAGGAGCCGCCUGGGGUCCUAGCGCGGGAGGCGCCGCAGCCGGUGGGCCGUGAGUGAGAAGCGCGCGUUCCGGGGGCGCCCACGCAGCCGCCCACGCAGCCACCCACGCACCCACGCAUCAUGUACUACAAGUUCAACGGCGUCACGCAGAGGCUGUCCGGGGCCGCGGCCUCCGCCGCCUACAACCCCCAGGGAUUAAAAAGGCAGAAGCAAGAUAGGAGGGGAAUGUUAUCCCACAUUCUGUUCUGUUAAUGAAUAUUAGGGACUCAAACCAAUAGUUUCCACUGAAUCCCCAGCUCUGAUUUUUGGGACAACAACUAAACUUGCUUCAGAUUUACCAGCAGAUGAUUCUUUCUUGGGUAAAAACAAGGUGCCAGACCUACAGAAAGUUUUUCAGAGAGCAGAUGGAUUGCCAGUGCACCUGAAACGAGGAGUUCCAGAUAAGCUGCUUUAUCGGACCACGAUGGCUCUAACAAUAGGCGGGACGAUCUACUGCCUGGUAGCCCUCUACAUGGCCUCACAGCCCAGAAACCAAAAGUAAAUGGGCCACAACUUGUGGGACUUGUGACAUUUCUCUGAAGGACCUCCUGCAUGUAUCUCUUUGCACUUGCUUUAAUGAUAUAAUCAUGCAGGGUUCACUAUUCAGAUCAACUUUCUUGAAGAAAAUGUUUAUAAAUUGGUUGCCUUAUGUGUUCUAGAAAUCAAUAUAAACAGACUUAAAGACAUCAUCUUACCAUAUGGUUUUAUCUUUGCAUUUUUUGUCUUACAGAAGUGUAUGAACAGUUGAAAGUUAAGUUUUUCCUACUUUCCCUCCCCCAGUUAAACAAUGCCAGAAGUAGGACAGGACAAAUACUUGGGGUCUAUGCUCUAUGGUCCUUAGUGAAGGAUCCUGCUUGUUUCCAAAACAAAUAAUUUAAUUAUUAUUCUGGGAACCUGUUUCUUACAUACACAGCCCAUCUUACAUAAUCAAGUCACAGUGGAACCAUUCCAGAUGCUGUUAUAUUUAAAUAUUUGUACCACUGGUGGUAGGACAAAGGGCUUUUCUCCUUUAAGCAUUCAAAGUGGAUUUAUUCCAUAAUGUUAGCAUCACUGCAUACAGCAGGAUGCACCAGUAUCGUGGCAUCAGUUAUACCAAUUUUGGACUCUGUUUGUCAAACUAUUCUUGUCCAAUAAAGAUAACUUACAUGCAUAACAGAACAGGAAAGUCUUGAAAGUGUCAGACCACUUCAGCUGGAUUGGUGUGAAAUAAACAUCCUGGUACCCUUUUGUUGAAAUUCAACUUGUAGCUCUCAAGUCAGACAACUGAUUCAACUACCUUACUGUAAUCUUUUUGAGAUAGUAAUCCUCUGAAAACCCUCUCUUGGAACUGAUAGGGUGUGAAUAGGUUUUGGUCAAACAGGUUGGUGUCAUAGCUCAGCUGUGUAAUAUUUUCAGUGCAGGUGCAUAUCUAUAUGUGUACACAUAUGCACACAUUUCCUUUGCCAUGUGAGUGGAAGAGAAGGAAGCCAAUAAAAGCCUUCAAUUAGUUGUCUUUCCCAUGAAACACAGCCUUUAACUGCAGGUUUCACACAAGUCUUCACAGAAAGCAUCCUCUAAUUCAGUAGAUCCUCUGUCUAUGAAUAGCAGGUAUCACUCUGAUCACACAGGUUUUGAAUAAGCGUGAAUUCACUGGCCUCUCUAAAACCCAUUUGUCUCAGAACUGUGGAUAAAUCACUUUUCAUGUAAAUAAGGGAAGCAGUUAAUAAAGGACCCUAAAAUUC